CCCCCCAGUGAUGAGCUUGUGGAUAGAGAAGAUGAUGAAGGUUUGGUUGCUUCGGAAAAUGUUGUUGUUGAAAGUGAAGGUGUAGACUGUGAUUCCCCUGAUUCGCUGCCCUUACCUGUUCCUCCACCAAAGCCUUCUUCAAAUGAUAAUAGGAGAUCGGUCUUGAGAAGUUUUGGUGCUUUACGAAUUGGAGCAGCACAAACUGGAUCACACCCUUCUUCUCCAAGGUCACUUAGUGAGAACGAAGGCUAUAACAGUUCCGAUGAGCAUAUGCCAUGCUUUGUGCCCUCUCAUACUGGCUCUAGCUCUGGCUUGGUAAGUUUUAUUUUCAGAGAAUUUAUUUUUUGCACUCUUAUGGAUUUUUUUUUUAUAUAUUUGAUUCCUAUUGUACAGGAAAGAGAAGAUGAGUUUGAAACCGAGAUUAGGCAAUCGAAAGGCUUCGAAAUCAGGCGUAUGCUGGAAGAUGGAAAUUGUCUCUUCAGGGCUGUUGCAGAUCAAGUAUAUGGAGACUCGGAGUCACACGACAUGACUAGACAACUGUGCAUGGAUUACAUGGUAAUUUUCUAUCAUUUGUCAAGCUAGGUGUUUGACUUUUGCUUUCAUUAGAUGAGCAGAAAGGGACUUGCAUUUGAGAAUAGCACGUUAGAAAGAUAUAUUGAGCCAACAAUAUAUGAUGCAAUUUCGCUACUUACCGUGUUAUGCUACUUUUGAAACUAUGAUGGUACCUUUUGUUCUGAGUGAGCACACAAGUAGUGGUUUUUAGUUAUGAUGGUAACAAGUGGCAGAACUUACUCACGAUGGAUGGUUUAGGAACACGAGAGGGAUCACUUUUCUCAGUUCAUAACCGAAGGCUUUACCUCUUACUUGAAGAGGAAAAGGAGAAACAAGGUGGCGCUUUUCUCCUAACCUUUGUUAAACUAUGUGUCAAAACAACUUUUGACCCCUCUUCUUUUUACGCAAUGGUAAUAUAGGUCUAUGGAAACAACGUGGAGAUCCAAGCUUUAGCAGAAAUGUAUAAUAGGCCUAUCCACAUUUAUUCAUAUAGCACAGGUGCAACUUAGAUUGACAGUGAAAACAAAAAGUUGUUCAUGUUCGAUAGUGUGACAUGAAAUUUAUGAAAAUUUGUUUUGUUUCCUACAGAGCCGAUCAACAUAUUUCAAGGGAGCUACAACACCGACACACCUCCGAUAAGGCUGAGUUACCACCAUGGGAACCAUUACAAUUCUUUGGUGGAUCCACAUCGGUUGACAGUUGGUGCAGGUCUUGGGUUUGGUAGCCUCAGUGGGGUAAGCUUAGUUUCCUCUCUUGUUCAGAAAGAUAGGCAUCUCUUUGUUUUUUCUCAUUCAGAUUUUCUUUUUUGAUUUCGCCCCGUUCCCUUUGAUUGAUUUCUAUAUGAAAGUUGUGUCAGUUUUGGUAUUGAGAAAGUUGAUUACUUUACAACUAGGAGGAGGCUUUGAGCUUGUAAAGGUUUUAUCUUUGAUGGGAAUGUUUCAGAUUUAGUUUCUUGUGCGUCAGUUAUGAGGGACAUUGUAUGUAGCUUUUGAGCUAGUGAAAGUGUUGUUGGGAUUGUCUAAAGUUGGGGAAUAUUGAUGAAUGCUAGGGGAAUGCAGAUAAGGUCUUGCUGCGAAGGCUGGAAGGAAUCCCACUCUCAAGGGAUUGUCAUCGUUGCCCCUAAAGCAAGAGCCAGGGACAAACCUUGGGAUCAUCAUCACCUCUAAUCUUUCCUUUCUUUGUAUUUCGAAAAAUGGCUCGCAUUUUGGUUCAACGAGGAAGUUCUUCCAACGCAAGCCGCUCUACUUCCUCCUCGUCUGGCUCGUCUUCUUCCUCAGGAACUGAGCCACCACAGGCAAGCAGUAAUGCUCAGGUUCCACCAGUGACAAUUGAUGAAGAAACUUCUACGGAUGGAAAGCAAGAGGAGGUUAUUGUUGUUGAACCAGCAGAGUGUUCUGAGGCUCAGGAUGUAUCACUUCCCCCCAGUGAUGAGCUUGUGGAUAGAGAAGAUGAUGAAGGUUUGGUUGCUUCGGAAAAUGUUGUUGUUGAAAGUGAAGGUGUAGACUGUGAUUCCCCUGAUUCGCUGCCCUUACCUGUUCCUCCACCAAAGCCUUCUUCAAAUGAUAAUAGGAGAUCGGUCUUGAGAAGUUUUGGUGCUUUACGAAUUGGAGCAGCACAAACUGGAUCACACCCUUCUUCUCCAAGGUCACUUAGU
rnacentral:lncRNA from 1 species